GUCCCCAAGGCGUUUUGGGGUGCUACAUGCUAAUUUUGGGUUUAUUUUGCCAUGAUUUUGGGGUCCCCAAGGAGUUUUAGGGUGCUGCACUCUGCCUUUACCAUGAUUUUGAGGUGCUCCACGUUGCUCUUCCGUUGAUCUUGCCAUGCUUUUAGGGUCCUGGAGGUGUUUUGGGAUGCUACACGAUGCCUUUAUCAUGAUUUUGGGGUGCUACGUGUUGAAUUUUGCCAUGAUUUUGGGGCUCCAGAGGUGUUUUGGGGUACCACAGGCUGAGUUUGUGUUGAUUUUUACCAUGAUUUUGGGGUCCCUGAGGCAUUUUGGGGUGCCACGCACUGAUUUUGGGUUGAUUUUGCCAUGAUUUUGGGGUCCUCGAGGUGUUUUGGGGUGCUACAUGCUUCUUUUGUGUGGCUUUUGCCAUGAUUUUGGGGUUCCAGAGGCAUUUUGGGGUCCUACACACUGAUUUUGGGUUGAUUUUGCCAUGAUUUUGGGGUCCUCAAGGUGUUUUGGGGUGCUACAUGCUGCAUUUGCAUUGAUUUUGCCCCAAUUUUAGGGCCCUGAGGCGUUUUGGGGUGCUCCAUCCAAUUCUGCACCCCUUUUGCCACUUUAAUGGGAUCCCGAAAGCGUUUUGGGGUUUUCCCCAGACAUUUUGGGGUUUCCCUGCCUCUUUUGUGCUGCUUCUGCUGCUCUCACGGGGUCCCCGGGGCGCUUUGGGGGUCCCCCACCCCAUUUCCCCACUGCUUCAUCGCCCCAAAUCAUUUGGGGACCUCGCCAGCCGUUUCCUCACCCCAUUUACAGGGCCCUUAGGUUAUUAUGGGAUGCCACCCCCCCCCCAUUCCCCUCCUGGAGCCAUUUUGGGUCCGUUUCACCGCCUUUUCCCCCCAUUUCCCCCAGCGUUACGGGGCCGCCCCCCCCUUAGGUGCCCACCCACUCAUUUGGGGCUGCCCCCCCCUUAAUUUUCACCCCAUCCCAAACCUCCUUCCCCCCCCUCCGGCUCCGGGUGCAGGUUUUCGAGCGCGGGCUGCAGUCGAUCCCGCUGAGCAUGGACCUGUGGAUCCACUACAUCUCCUACCUCCAGUCCACGCUGGACAUGAGCCUCCCCGAAUCCAUCCAGAAGAUCCGCGGGGUGUUCGAGGCGGCGGUGGCGGCGGCGGGGAUGGAUUUCCGCUCGGACAAGCUGUGGGAGCUCUACGUCGAGUGGGAGCGCGAGCGCGGCGACCUCCGCGCCGUCACCGCCAUCUACGACAGGGUGCUCUCCAUGCCCACGCAGCUCUACAGCCACCACUGGGAGAGGUGUGUCGGGGGGGGGGCAACCCGAAAAGAAGGGGGGAAAACCCUAAAAAAACGUGGGGGAAAACCCUAAAAAAAAGUGGGGGGAAAACCCUAAAAGAAGGGAAGAG
rnacentral:lncRNA from 1 species